rnacentral:rRNA from 1 species
AGGCCUAACACAUGCAAGUCGAGCGCCCAGCAAUGGGAGCGGCAGACGGGUGAGUAACGCGUGGGGAUCUGCCCAAUGGUACGGAAUAACCCAGGGAAACUUGGAUUAAUACCGUAUGUGCCCUUCGGGGGAAAGAUUUAUCGCCAUUGGAUGAACCCGCGUCGGAUUAGCUAGUUGGUGUGGUAAAGGCGCACCAAGGCGACGAUCCGUAGCUGGUCUGAGAGGA